rnacentral:rRNA from 1 species
ACGGCCUAAAGCGUGAUUAAAUAAUAUUAAAAUAAAUAGAAAUAAAAAUUAACUCAACUGUCGUACGUAUUUGUUAAACGGUAAACCGCAAACGAAAGAUAUUCUAAUAAACAAACUACUUGAACCCACGAAAGCUAAGAAACAAACUAGGAUUAGAUACCCUACUAUGCUCAGCCUUAAACUUUGGAACCCACCCGCCUGAGUACUACGAGCCACAGCUUAAAACUCAAAGGACUUGGCGGUGCCCUACACCCCCCUAGAGGAGCCUGUUCUAUAAUUGAUACCCCCCGCUAAACCUCACCACUUAUUGCCAAUACCGCUUAUAUACCGCCGUCGUCAGCUCACCAUUUAAAUGAAUAAUAGUAGGCAUAAUGAUAAACAUAAAAACGUCAGGUCAAGGUGUAGCGAAUUAAGUGGGAAGAAAUGGGCUACAUUUUCUAAACUAGAAAAUACGAAAAAUUUUAUGAAAAACUAUUUAAAGGUGGAUUUAGCAGUAAAAAGAAAAUAGAGUGUUCUUUUUAAAUCGGCCAUAGAGCGCGCACACACCGCCCGUCACCCUCCUCAGAAAAACAAUUAAUUAUAUAAUAAAAGAAAAUAAAAGAAGAGGUAAGUCGUAACAUGGUAAGUUUACCGGAAGGUGUACUUGGAUUAU